UUAAAAUGAAAAUAAAUUUAAAUUUGUAAUUUAAAUUUGAGAAUUUUAAAAUAAACUCUUGGUAGUCCGAUAAUAACGGCGUGGGAUCUGACCCAUAUGAUAAGCUCUUGGUAUCUGCCUCCUCAAAUGCGCCGAUUUGUGUCAGUGAUCAACCAACCAUUUACAGGUUCGUAUUCAAACUUCAGUUUCAAUUUUUCCAAUUCACUGUUAAAAUUCGCCCAAAAAUUACGUAUUUUGCUGAAGAACAAUUUAGUAUCUGAUAUAAGAAAUGGAUUAUACCAAUAUCACUAGGCUGGGCGUAAAUGUCAAUUCCGAAUUUUAUUUUACAAAUUUUAAUUCUAUUUGUUUCUAAGAUUGUUCAUAUUUGCAGUUUAUUUUAUAGCUAGAUUGAAUGAGAUUGCUAAAGAAUGUGAGAGAUGGCAUUGAUAUUAUUUAUUAUGAUAUGAAUAUGGAUAUUUAAUCCCCACAACAGGAUGUACUGUUUCUAAGUCCGUAUAAUACAAUUAAAUAUUUAAAUUGCUGGUAUUAUUAUAAAAAUAAAUAAAUAAAUAACAAACUAUUUAAAUGAAUGAAUGUUCAAUGACAUACAAUCUUUAUAUUCUAAUUAGAAACGUACCAACUUACCAUUGUAUUUUUUUUUCAUGAUAUUUAUGUGAAGUUACUCUCGUAAAUAAUCUAUCACUCCAAUUGUCCAUCCUUGGCAAAUUAAAGUAAUGUCGUCAUAAAAUUUCCCCACUUUCCUGUAUGUUUUCUACAAGUUUGAAGAGCUAUGUAUAGAUUAUGUUUUCUUAUGAACCAUUGAUAUGGAAUUUGAAUUUGUAAUGCUUUAGUAAUUCAACGAUCUUGAAGUAGUGAUUGGUUUAAUUACAGAUGGACAGGCUCAUAGCUAUGUGAAAGUACCCUUCUCGUUAUAUAUGUAUCUACUUGUCUGUUUUACUUUAAAUGUUGGGUCGUUCAGGAAGCCUUCAUGGCUUAAUAAAUUUUCUGGAAUUUGUUUCCAUUAUUUGAAGUAGAUAACUUAUAAUUGCUUUGGUAUGGUUUUACAAUUUUUUAUUUUCAGGAAUCUUAAAUUUUCACUUAUGAUAUAGUAAUUUACCAGUGUUAGUUACUAAAAAAAUUUAUACCUGAUUUUAAGUCUCUGAAGACUAUCGGAUAUUGAAGUUAGCUGGACAAAGUGCCCAAAUUUUCUGCUUCACUGGAAAUACUCGGGAGAUUUAUCAGCAUAGAAUACGAAGGGUUAGUUUUUGAAAGUUUCUUUUAGCCAAAGAUUUCAUGUUAUAACUUCGGUUUCCACUCUCUUAUUGUUGCUGAUCUGUUCAUGAUUCCAUCAGAAGAAAUAAAAAAUGCAAGCAACGCAUUUGCCUUUUAACAUUUAAACUCUUGGACAAAUAUUAGCUUGUAAUAUUACAUAUGUUGUAAGUAUAGUCACAAUUGAAGUUCUAAUGCAGUAGAAUUUUGUUGGUAUAACUUAUUCUCAUUCCGCUCUUAACAAAGAGAGAACCAGGUUUCAUCUGAAUGCUGAAGUUCCAUUACUUCUCUAAUGUAAAAACCAAAAAAUGAUCUAGCAGCUUCGAAUGAACAUGUUCCACUCCUUUUCCCUCGACUGGACCGUCUCAGCACCAGCUGAAACCAUUCAAGUCGAAUUGCUUGCAUCUUGAAGCAGUGUCGUUUUCAUCAUGGAUAUUCAGGUCUAGCUUUGGUGCAAAGCAGGACAGCUGAAAUCCUUCAAAGAUAUUUUCAUUCUCUGGUUUAAUCGAAUCUCUUCUUUUGGCGGUUUGGUCAAGAAAAUUGACAUCCGCAUUCCUCUUCUUAAAUACUUUUUCCGUAUAGCUGCUGUUGCCAUUCCAGUUUCCUCCCUGAACUCCAACACUCAUCGAUAAAUCACUAGCAUGUACUUCUACAUCAAAUGCUUUCUUUGAAUCGUUUACUAUUGGUGACAGGGACUUUCUAUUCUCUUUCAGGUCUUUGCACCAUCUGAAUUCAGUCUCUUGGUCCCUUUGGGAACCUCCAAUGGAGGUCAAACAGCUAUCUAAUGAACAAUUCGUCGGCUGGUUUGAUUGUGUUUGCUGUGGACAGAAGCCUGAAACAUCUUUCAUCCCGGAAAAUGCAGAAUUUAGGCAUUUGGUGGAUACUUUUGAGACCAACUCAGAUAGCUGGACCUUCGCAGCCUCUAGUCCAACUGUGCCCAAAUUUUGUCUUCCAAGCGUAUCUUGCGCUUUCUCCAGCACCGCUUGCAGGUAUUUCCCUUGAGCUUCUAUUCGUAGCUGUAAAUGUCGUUGUACCUAUCAGUUCAGAAUUAAAUGUGAUUUAAAAUGUUGUUCAAAAAUUGUUUGAGAACUUUGGGUGGAAUUAGAACUUGAAAGAAGUGAAUAAAUUUUAAUUGUUUGAAUUGUAUAUUGGCUGCAUAAAAUGCAUAUAUAAUUUUAUAUGCUAUGUAUGCUCAAUCUCAAAGUUACUAGAUGAAUAGUUGUAGCCAUCAAAUAUGUUUGAAAUUUUUCUUUUUCUUUUUACUCUGGAGAUUUCUUGUGAAAUAUUCUGAUGUUUAAAAAGAAAUACUAUUAUCUGAUAAUUGUGCAGCGUAUUGUACCUCAAGCUGCUCAUGUAGCCGUCUCUGCACUUCAAUUUGCAUCUGUAUUGCUUCACUUAUAUGUAAACUUCAAUAUAGAACAUCUUGUAGUUAGAGUACAAUCUUUGAAAUAUUAAAUUAUGAAAUAUAAAAUAAUUAAGAAAAAGUAUGAUAAUGCUCUUGCGCUCAUACUUAUUAUUUGUUUGAGGUCCAAUGCUUGAAUUACUCGUGUGAAUUGUUCCAGUUGAUUCAGGGAUCCUUUCUCCCGCCAUUGCAACCAUUCCUACAUUAGCAAAUCAUUGUUAUGUUCUACCCCCCAAAACUGAUGUAUAAUAUGAUGUGUCCAUUGAUAUAUUAAAAUCAUACCAGUUUUGUUUGUCCCAGUAUUUGCUUGUCCUGGUAGAUUUUUGCUGAGCCUGUACUUCUGCCAGCCAAAAAACAAGAGUUAAUGAAAAGAUAGGACAAUGCAUGUAUUUUCAUAAAACCGCAAACCUUUCCUUCCAUUUGACACAUCAAUUGGCAACCAUAGGAUAUACCCCGGAUGGCCUGAAGUUUAAUAUGAAGAAACUUUCUAAACUAAUCAUGGGUAAAAUAUAUACCUGAAGAUGACUUUUUAGGUGGUAUAAGGUAAGUCCUUGAAUCCCCAUUAGUUUCAAAACUGAUUUAGGAGUAGCCUCUGCAAAAUAGAAGAGUAGACACUUCAAUAGGUAAAUAAUAGUAAAAACUUUGCAUGGUGCUAUGAAACUUUAACUUAGUUUUUUGCACUCACUAUCAGCUCCUCCAAGCUGAUUGACGGCUUCUAUAAACCGCUCGUGAAGGUCUGGUGUCCAUUUCAAUCUAGGCUUUGCAUCAGUUGAAAGUACAAGUCCCGAAUCUCCUGUAGCAUUCCC
rnacentral:lncRNA from 1 species